rnacentral:lncRNA from 1 species
UAUACAAAGACCAAAAAUACAUGCUGACAACAACUAGGCUUAGGAGGAAAUCCGUAGAAUCCGGUAAACUUCAACCCAUCUCUAGCGCGAGUCUGACAAGGUUGGGGAGUCGCUGGAAAGCCUUGCCAAGAUCAGCCUCAAACCAGCAACAACACUCCCUAAGGAUCUAAACACAAUAACAUCAAAGUUUCCAUCAAUACCCACAAAUUCAGCACUUAAUCUUAAAUCCUCUACAACCUCAAUGUCAAACUCACCUUUCAAUCCACAAUUCAGGUGAAUAAAAGUCCCAAAACCAGUAGA